rnacentral:rRNA from 1 species
GAUGAACGCUAGCUACAGGCUUAACACAUGCAAGUCGAGGGGCAGCAUUGGAGUAGCAAUACUUCAGAUGGCGACCGGCGCACGGGUGAGUAACACGUAUCCAACCUGCCGCUUACUCGGGGAUAGCCUUUCGAAAGAAAGAUUAAUACCCGAUGGUAUAAAGAGUUCGCAUGUUCUCUUUAUUAAAGAAUUUCGGUAAGCGAUGGGGAUGCGUUCCAUUAGAUAGUUGGCGGGGUAACGGCCCACCAAGUCUACGAUGGAUAGGGGUUCUGAGAGGAAGGUCCCCCACAUUGGAACUGAGACACGGUCCAAACUCCUACGGGAGGCAGCAGUGAGGAAUAUUGGUCAAUGGACGAGAGUCUGAACCAGCCAAGUAGCGUGAAGGAUGACUGCCCUAUGGGUUGUAAACUUCUUUUAUAAGGGAAUAAAGUGAGGGACGUGUCCCUUUUUGUAUGUACCUUAUGAAUAAGGAUCGGCUAACUCCGUGCCAGCCGCCGCCGUAAAAC